rnacentral:rRNA from 1 species
GGUUAAGCGACUAAGCGUACACGGUGGAUGCCCUGGCAGUCAGAGGCGAUGAAGGACGUGCUAAUCUGCGAUAAGCGUCGGUAAGGUGAUAUGAACCGUUAUAACCGGCGAUUUCCGAAUGGGGAAACCCAGUGUGUUUCGACACACUAUCAUUAACUGAAUCCAUAGGUUAAUGAGGCGAACCGGGGGAACUGAAACAUCUAAGUACCCCGAGGAAAAGAAAUCAACCGAGAUUCCCCCAGUAGCGGCGAGCGAACGGGGAGCAGCCCAGAGCCUGAAUCAGUGUGUGUGUUAGUGGAAGCGUCUGGAAAGGCGCGCGAUACAGGGUGACAGCCCCGUACACAAAAAUGCACAUGCUGUGAGCUCGAUGAGUAGGGCGGGACACGUGGUAUCCUGUCUGAAUAUGGGGGGACCAUCCUCCAAGGCUAAAUACUCCUGACUGACCGAUAGUGAACCAGUACCGUGAGGGAAAGGCGAAAAGAACCCCGGCGAGGGGAGUGAAAAAGAACCUGAAACCGUGUACGUACAAGCAGUGGGAGCACGCUUAGGCGUGUGACUGCGUACCUUUUGUAUAAUGGGUCAGCGACUUAUAUUCUGUAGCAAGGUUAACCGAAUAGGGGAGCCGAAGGGAAACCGAGUCUUAACUGGGCGUUAAGUUGCAGGGUAUAGACCCGAAACCCGGUGAUCUAGCCAUGGGCAGGUUGAAGGUUGGGUAACACUAACUGGAGGACCGAACCGACUAAUGUUGAAAAAUUAGCGGAUGACUUGUGGCUGGGGGUGAAAGGCCAAUCAAACCGGGAGAUAGCUGGUUCUCCCCGAAAGCUAUUUAGGUAGCGCCUCGUGAAUUCAUCUCCGGGGGUAGAGCACUGUUUCGGCAAGGGGGUCAUCCCGACUUACCAACCCGAUGCAAACUGCGAAUACCGGAGAAUGUUAUCACGGGAGACACACGGCGGGUGCUAACGUCCGUCGUGAAGAGGGAAACAACCCAGACCGCCAGCUAAGGUCCCAAAGUCAUGGUUAAGUGGGAAACGAUGUGGGAAGGCCCAGACAGCCAGGAUGUUGGCUUAGAAGCAGCCAUCAUUUAAAGAAAGCGUAAUAGCUCACUGGUCGAGUCGGCCUGCGCGGAAGAUGUAACGGGGCUAAACCAUGCACCGAAGCUGCGGCAGCGACGCUUAUGCGUUGUUGGGUAGGGGAGCGUUCUGUAAGCCUGUGAAGGUGUGCUGUGAGGCAUGCUGGAGGUAUCAGAAGUGCGAAUGCUGACAUAAGUAACGAUAAAGCGGGUGAAAAGCCCGCUCGCCGGAAGACCAAGGGUUCCUGUCCAACGUUAAUCGGGGCAGGGUGAGUCGACCCCUAAGGCGAGGCCGAAAGGCGUAGUCGAUGGGAAACAGGUUAAUAUUCCUGUACUUGGUGUUACUGCGAAGGGGGGACGGAGAAGGCUAUGUUGGCCGGGCGACGGUUGUCCCGGUUUAAGCGUGUAGGCUGGUUUUCCAGGCAAAUCCGGAAAAUCAAGGCUGAGGCGUGAUGACGAGGCACUACGGUGCUGAAGCAACAAAUGCCCUGCUUCCAGGAAAAGCCUCUAAGCAUCAGGUAACAUCAAAUCGUACCCCAAACCGACACAGGUGGUCAGGUAGAGAAUACCAAGGCGCUUGAGAGAACUCGGGUGAAGGAACUAGGCAAAAUGGUGCCGUAACUUCGGGAGAAGGCACGCUGAUAUGUAGGUGAAGUCCCUCGCGGAUGGAGCUGAAAUCAGUCGAAGAUACCAGCUGGCUGCAACUGUUUAUUAAAAACACAGCACUGUGCAAACACGAAAGUGGACGUAUACGGUGUGACGCCUGCCCGGUGCCGGAAGGUUAAUUGAUGGGGUUAGCCGCAAGGCGAAGCUCUUGAUCGAAGCCCCGGUAAACGGCGGCCGUAACUAUAACGGUCCUAAGGUAGCGAAAUUCCUUGUCGGGUAAGUUCCGACCUGCACGAAUGGCGUAAUGAUGGCCAGGCUGUCUCCACCCGAGACUCAGUGAAAUUGAACUCGCUGUGAAGAUGCAGUGUACCCGCGGCAAGACGGAAAGACCCCGUGAACCUUUACUAUAGCUUGACACUGAACAUUGAGCCUUGAUGUGUAGGAUAGGUGGGAGGCUUUGAAGUGUGGACGCCAGUCUGCAUGGAGCCGACCUUGAAAUACCACCCUUUAAUGUUUGAUGUUCUAACGUUGACCCGUAAUCCGGGUUGCGGACAGUGUCUGGUGGGUAGUUUGACUGGGGCGGUCUCCUCCUAAAGAGUAACGGAGGAGCACGAAGGUUGGCUAAUCCUGGUCGGACAUCAGGAGGUUAGUGCAAUGGCAUAAGCCAGCUUGACUGCGAGCGUGACGGCGCGAGCAGGUGCGAAAGCAGGUCAUAGUGAUCCGGUGGUUCUGAAUGGAAGGGCCAUCGCUCAACGGAUAAAAGGUACUCCGGGGAUAACAGGCUGAUACCGCCCAAGAGUUCAUAUCGACGGCGGUGUUUGGCACCUCGAUGUCGGCUCAUCACAUCCUGGGGCUGAAGUAGGUCCCAAGGGUAUGGCUGUUCGCCAUUUAAAGUGGUACGCGAGCUGGGUUUAGAACGUCGUGAGACAGUUCGGUCCCUAUCUGCCGUGGGCGCUGGAGAACUGAGGGGGGCUGCUCCUAGUACGAGAGGACCGGAGUGGACGCAUCACUGGUGUUCGGGUUGUCAUGCCAAUGGCACUGCCCGGUAGCUAAAUGCGGAAGAGAUAAGUGCUGAAAGCAUCUAAGCACGAAACUUGCCCCGAGAUGAGUUCUCCCUGACUCC